UACGUAGGUGGCGAGCGUUGUCCGGAUUUACUGGGCGUAAAGGGAGCGUAGGCGGACUUUUAAGUGAGAUGUGAAAUACCCGGGCUCAACUUGGGUGCUGCAUUUCAAACUGGAAGUCUAGAGUGCAGGAGAGGAGAAUGGAAUUCCUAGUGUAGCGGUGAAAUGCGUAGAGAUUAGGAAGAACACCAGUGGCGAAGGCGAUUCUCUGGACUGUAACUGACGCUGAGGCUCGAAAGCGUGGGGAGCAAACAGGAUUAGAUACCCGU
rnacentral:rRNA from 1 species